rnacentral:rRNA from 1 species
AGCGCAGAAAUAAACGGAUCCCUUCGGGGUGAUGUUUAUGGAAUGAGCGGCGGACGGGUGAAUAACACGUGGGCAACCUGCCUGUAAGAUCGGGAUAACUCGCGGAAACGUGAGCUAAUACCGGAUAACACUUUUCAUCUCAUGGUGAGAAGAUAAAAGACGGUUUCGGCUGUCACUUACAGAUGGGCCCGCGGCGCAUUAGCUAGUUGGUGAGGUAACGGCUCACCAAGGCGACGAUGCGUAGCCGACCUGAGAGGGUGAUCGGCCACACUGGGACUGAGACACGGCCCAGACUCCUACGGGAGGCAGCAGUAGGGAAUCUUCCGCAAUGGACGAAAGUCUGACGGAGCAACGCCGCGUGAGUGAUGAAGGUUUUCGGAUCGUAAAACUCUGUUGUUAGGGAAGAACAAGUUGGGUAGUAACUGACCCAACCUUGACGGUACCUAACCAGAAAGCCACGGCUAACUACGUGCCAGCAGCCGCGGUAAUACGUAGGUGGCAAGCGUUGUCCGGAAUUAUUGGGCGUAAAGCGCUCGCAGGCGGUCUUUUAAGUCUGAUGUGAAAGCCCACGGCUUAACCGUGGAGGGUCAUUGGAAACUGGAGGACUUGAGUACAG